GACGAACGCUGGCGGCGUGCUUAACACAUGCAAGUCGAACGGAAAGGCCCUGCUUUUGUGGGGUGCUCGAGUGGCGAACGGGUGAGUAACACGUGAGUAACCUGCCCUUGACUUUGGGAUAACUUCAGGAAACUGGGGCUAAUACCGGAUAGGAGCUCCUGCUGCAUGGUGGGGGUUGGAAAGUUUCGGCGGUUGGGGAUGGACUCGCGGCUUAUCAGCUUGUUGGUGGGGUAGUGGCUUACCAAGGCUUUGACGGGUAGCCGGCCUGAGAGGGUGACCGGCCACAUUGGGACUGAGGUACGGCCCAGACUCCUACGGGAGGCAGCAGGGGGGAAUAUUGCACAAUGGGCGGAAGCCUGAUGCAGCAACGCCGCGGGCGGGAUGACGGCCUUCGGGUUGUAAACCGCUUUCGCCUGUGACGAAGCGUGAGUGACGGUAAUGGGUAAAGAAGCACCGGCUAACUACGUG
rnacentral:rRNA from 1 species